rnacentral:rRNA from 1 species
GUGGGGAAUCUUCCGCAAUGGGCGAAAGCCUGACGGAGCAACGCCGCGUGAGUGAUGAAGGACUUCGGUCUGUAAAACUCUGUUGUUCAUGACGAACGGGUAGCAUAGUAACUGAUGCUGCAGUGACGGUAGUGAACGAGGAAGCCACGGCUAACUACGUGCCAGCAGCCGCGGUAAUACGUAGGCGGCAAGCGUUGUCCGGAAUUAUUGGGCGUAAAGAGCAUGUAGGCGGCUAUUUAAGUCUGUCGUGAAAAUGCGGGGCUUAACCCCGUAUGGCGGUAGAAACUGGAUAGCUUGAGCGCAGGAGAGGAAAGGGGAAUUCCCAGUGUAGCGGUGAAAUGCGUAGAUAUUGGGAGGAACACCAGUGGCGAAGGCGCCUUUCUGGACUGUGACUGACGCUGAGAUGCGAAAGCCAGGGGAGCGAACGGGAUUAGAAACCCGUGUAGUCC